rnacentral:piRNA from 1 species
GCAACAGGAAGAGACAGAACACCAGCU